rnacentral:rRNA from 1 species
GAUGAACGCUGGCGGCGUGCCUACAUGCAAGUCGAGCGAACGGACGAGAAGCUUGCUUCUCUGAUGUUAGCGGCGGACGGGUGAGUAACACGUGGAUAACCUACCUAUAAGACUGGGAUAACUUCGGGAAACCGGAGCUAAUACCGGAUAAUAUUUUGAACCGCAUGGUUCAAAAGUGAAAGACGGUCUUGCUGUCACUUAUAGAUGGAUCCGCGCUGCAUUAGCUAGUUGGUAAGGUAACGGCUUACCAAGGCAACGAUGCAUAGCCGACCUGAGAGGGUGAUCGGCCACACUGGAACUGAGACACGGUCCAGACUCCUACGGGAGGCAGCAGUAGGGAAUCUUCCGCAAUGGGCGAAAGCCUGACGGAGCAACGCCGCGUGAGUGAUGAAGGUCUUCGGAUCGUAAAACUCUGUUAUUAGGGAAGAACAUAUGUGUAAGUAACUGUGCACAUCUUGACGGUACCUAAUCAGAAAGCCACGGCUAACUACGUG